rnacentral:snoRNA from 1 species
GAGUGAGGAUGAGACUGAGAGAGAUGAUGAGAGGGGAGGAUGAGAGGGAGGAGUAACAAAAGUGAAAACAAUUUCAAAUAGAUUUCAGUUUUUAGUUUUUGUUUUCACUUUUAUUACUCUUACUCUAAUCCUCCCCUCUUCUUCUCUCUUAAUCCCAUCUUCACUCU